GGGUUGUGAGGUUAAGCGACUAAGCGUACACGGUGGAUGCCCUGGCAGUCAGAGGCGAUGAAGGACGUGCUAAUCUGCGAUAAGCGUCGGUAAGGUGAUAUGAACCGUUAUAACCGGCGAUUUCCGAAUGGGGAAACCCAGUGUGAUUCGUCACACUAUCAUUAACUGAAUCCAUAGGUUAAUGAGGCGAACCGGGGGAACUGAAACAUCUAAGUACCCCGAGGAAAAGAAAUCAACCGAGAUUCCCCCAGUAGCGGCGAGCGAACGGGGAGGAGCCCAGAGCCUGAAUCAGUGUGUGUGUUAGUGGAAGCGUCUGGAAAGGCGCGCGAUACAGGGUGACAGCCCCGUACACAAAAAUGCACAUGCUGUGAGCUCGAUGAGUAGGGCGGGACACGUGGUAUCCUGUCUGAAUAUGGGGGGACCAUCCUCCAAGGCUAAAUACUCCUGACUGACCGAUAGUGAACCAGUACCGUGAGGGAAAGGCGAAAAGAACCCCGGCGAGGGGAGUGAAAAAGAACCUGAAACCGUGUACGUACAAGCAGUGGGAGCCUCUUUAUGGGGUGACUGCGUACCUUUUGUAUAAUGGGUCAGCGACUUAUAUUCUGUAGCAAGGUUAACCGAAUAGGGGAGCCGAAGGGAAACCGAGUCUUAACUGGGCGUUAAGUUGCAGGGUAUAGACCCGAAACCCGGUGAUCUAGCCAUGGGCAGGUUGAAGGUUGGGUAACACUAACUGGAGGACCGAACCGACUAAUGUUGAAAAAUUAGCGGAUGACUUGUGGCUGGGGGUGAAAGGCCAAUCAAACCGGGAGAUAGCUGGUUCUCCCCGAAAGCUAUUUAGGUAGCGCCUCGUGAAUUCAUCUCCGGGGGUAGAGCACUGUUUCGGCAAGGGGGUCAUCCCGACUUACCAACCCGAUGCAAACUGCGAAUACCGGAGAAUGUUAUCACGGGAGACACACGGCGGGUGCUAACGUCCGUCGUGAAGAGGGAAACAACCCAGACCGCCAGCUAAGGUCCCAAAGUCAUGGUUAAGUGGGAAACGAUGUGGGAAGGCCCAGACAGCCAGGAUGUUGGCUUAGAAGCAGCCAUCAUUUAAAGAAAGCGUAAUAGCUCACUGGUCGAGUCGGCCUGCGCGGAAGAUGUAACGGGGCUAAACCAUGCACCGAAGCUGCGGCAGCGACGCUUAUGCGUUGUUGGGUAGGGGAGCGUUCUGUAAGCCUGCGAAGGUGUACUGUGAGGUAUGCUGGAGGUAUCAGAAGUGCGAAUGCUGACAUAAGUAACGAUAAAGCGGGUGAAAAGCCCGCUCGCCGGAAGACCAAGGGUUCCUGUCCAACGUUAAUCGGGGCAGGGUGAGUCGACCCCUAAGGCGAGGCCGAAAGGCGUAGUCGAUGGGAAACAGGUUAAUAUUCCUGUACUUGGUGUUACUGCGAAGGGGGGACGGAGAAGGCUAUGUUGGCCGGGCGACGGUUGUCCCGGUUUAAGCGUGUAGGCUGGUUUUCCAGGCAAAUCCGGAAAAUCAAGGCUGAGGCGUGAUGACGAGGCACUACGGUGCUGAAGCAACAAAUGCCCUGCUUCCAGGAAAAGCCUCUAAGCAUCAGGUAACAUCAAAUCGUACCCCAAACCGACACAGGUGGUCAGGUAGAGAAUACCAAGGCGCUUGAGAGAACUCGGGUGAAGGAACUAGGCAAAAUGGUGCCGUAACUUCGGGAGAAGGCACGCUGAUACGUAGGUGNNNNNNNNNNNNNNNNNNNNNNNNNNNNNNNNNNNNNNNNNNNNNNNNNNNNNNNNNNNNNNNNNNNNNNNNNNNNNNNNNNNNNUUGCNCGUGGAGCUGAAAUCAGUCGAAGAUACCAGCUGGCUGCAACUGUUUAUUAAAAACACAGCACUGUGCAAACACGAAAGUGGACGUAUACGGUGUGACGCCUGCCCGGUGCCGGAAGGUUAAUUGAUGGGGUUAGCGGUAACGCGAAGCUCUUGAUCGAAGCCCCGGUAAACGGCGGCCGUAACUAUAACGGUCCUAAGGUAGCGAAAUUCCUUGUCGGGUAAGUUCCGACCUGCACGAAUGGCGUAAUGAUGGCCAGGCUGUCUCCACCCGAGACUCAGUGAAAUUGAACUCGCUGUGAAGAUGCAGUGUACCCGCGGCAAGACGGAAAGACCCCGUGAACCUUUACUAUAGCUUGACACUGAACAUUGAGCCUUGAUGUGUAGGAUAGGUGGGAGGCUUUGAAGUGUGGACGCCAGUCUGCAUGGAGCCGACCUUGAAAUACCACCCUUUAAUGUUUGAUGUUCUAACGUUGGCCCCUAAUCGGGGUUGCGGACAGUGUCUGGUGGGUAGUUUGACUGGGGCGGUCUCCUCCUAAAGAGUAACGGAGGAGCACGAAGGUUGGCUAAUCCUGGUCGGACAUCAGGAGGUUAGUGCAAUGGCAUAAGCCAGCUUGACUGCGAGCGUGACGGCGCGAGCAGGUGCGAAAGCAGGUCAUAGUGAUCCGGUGGUUCUGAAUGGAAGGGCCAUCGCUCAACGGAUAAAAGGUACUCCGGGGAUAACAGGCUGAUACCGCCCAAGAGUUCAUAUCGACGGCGGUGUUUGGCACCUCGAUGUCGGCUCAUCACAUCCUGGGGCUGAAGUAGGUCCCAAGGGUAUGGCUGUUCGCCAUUUAAAGUGGUACGCGAGCUGGGUUUAGAACGUCGUGAGACAGUUCGGUCCCUAUCUGCCGUGGGCGCUGGAGAACUGAGGGGGGCUGCUCCUAGUACGAGAGGACCGGAGUGGACGCAUCACUGGUGUUCGGGUUGUCAUGCCAAUGGCACUGCCCGGUAGCUAAAUGCGGAAGAGAUAAGUGCUGAAAGCAUCUAAGCACGAAACUUGCCCCGAGAUGAGUUCUCCCUGACUCCUUGAGAGUCCUGAAGGAACGUUGAAGACGACGACGUUGAUAGGCCGGGUGUGUAAGCGCAGCGAUGCGUUGAGCUAACCGGUACUAAUGAACCGUGAGGCUUAACCUUACAACGCCGAAG
rnacentral:rRNA from 1 species